AGAUCACGCGGAGCAUUAGCUAGUUGGUAUGGUAACGGCCCAGCAAGGCGGGAUAGCGUAGCCGACUUGAGAGUGUGACCGGCCACACUGGGAAUGAGACACGGGCGCAGACUCCUACGGGAGGCAGCAGUAGUGAAUCUUCCUCAAUGUGCGAAAUGCUUGAUGGAGCAACGCUGUUUUGAAUGAUGAAGGCUUUCGGGUUGUAAAACUCUGUCAUUCGUGACGAACUGGAGUCUGAGGAAAUGCUGACUCUCUGAUGGUACCGGAGGAGGAAGCCCCGGCUAAAUAUCGUCCCAGCAGCCGUGGUCAUAUGUAGGGGGCAAGCGUUGUCUCGGAUUCACUGGGCGUAAAGUGCGCGCAGGGGGUGAUGUAAGUGUGAGGUGAAAACCCGAAGCUCAACUUCGGGUUUGCCUUUGAUACUGCGUCACUAGGGGAUAGGAGAGGCAAGGGGAAUUGCUACCUGUAGCGGUGAAAUGAGUAGAGAGGUGGAUGAACACGUGUUGUGAAGGCGCCUUGCCGGCACCUCUAAAAGGCCGAUGCGCUAAAAUGUAGUGAGCAAACCGGCUGCGAUAC
rnacentral:rRNA from 1 species